rnacentral:rRNA from 1 species
GACGUAGGGUCCGAGCGUUGUCCGGAAUUAUUGGGCGUAAAGAGCUCGUAGGCGGUUUGUUGCGUCGGCUGUGAAAUCCCGAGGCUCAACCUCGGGUCUGCAGUCGAUACGAGCAAACUAGAGUGUUGCAGGGGAGACUGGAAUUCCUGGUGUAGCGGUGAAAUGCGCAGAUAUCAGGAGGAACACCGGUGGCGAAGGCGGGUCUCUGGGUAACAACUGACGCUGAGGAGUGAAAGCGUGGGGAGCGAACAGG